rnacentral:rRNA from 1 species
AGAGUUUGAUCAUGGCUCAGGAUGAACGCUGGCGGCAUGCCUAACACAUGCAAGUCGAACGAGGGCAGCAAUGCCCGAGUGGCGGACGGGUGAGUAACGCGUGAACAAUCUGCCUAUGUCAGGGGAAUAACACAGAGAAAUUUGUGCUAAUACCGCAUAAGACCACGGAGGGGCAUCCCUUUGGGGUAAAAGAUUUAUCGGACAUAGAUGAGUUCGCGUCCCAUUAGGUAGUUGGUGAGGUAACCGG